CACGUAGGGUGCAAGCGUUGUCCGGAAUUAUUGGGCGUAAAGGGCUCGUAGGCGGUCCGUCACGUCGGGAGUGAAAACUCGGGGCUCAACCCCGAGCCUGCUUCCGAUACGGGCGGACUAGAGGUAGGUAGGGGAGAACGGAAUUCCUGGUGUAGCGGUGGAAUGCGCAGAUAUCAGGAGGAACACCGGUGGCGAAGGCGGUUCUCUGGACGGUGACUGACGCUGAGACGCGAAAGCGUGGUGAGCAAACAGG
rnacentral:rRNA from 1 species